CACGGGACGGGAGCAGUCCUGUUUGUUUGUUUGUUUACUAGUAAACAAGCAGCCGAGCGGUUGAUGAUGAAUCAGAGGUGGAGGUGAAGGUGUUCCUGUGGUUCUGGUGGACCUUCAGGGACUCUGAUCAGGACUCUAACAGCAGGUUUUGGGGCAGAUUGUCUCUUUAACAGCAGCUGAAGGAGACUCAGGUGAGCUCCGUCAUUAGAAACUGGAUCACAGCUCUUCUCCAGCAGGCGGCGCCACUCUGAGUCUCAGAGACCAGAAGAUCCUGAUCCGGAUCAUCAUGAAGCUGCUUUGAGACGCUGUGAUGUCAUCAGUCCUCCAUCUUGGACUGGAACAAGUUUCAUUCAUCCUGUGAAAGAGACAAAAGGAGGGACAGCGCCUCCUGCUGGACGACUGCAAGAAUACAAAUCUGUCUUCAGACUCUCUGCCUCCACUUUCACACACUGGCAUCAAACUCCUGCUUCCUCAUGUUCAUUCACUUAUUUAAUGAUUCAUAAGUAAAGGAGACAUUUAAUUAAAGAAGAAAUACAAAUAAAACAACUUUUGGUCCAAACACUCAGCAGAACUUCUGAGCCUUCUUGUUUAUUUUAAAAAGGGUUUCUGUCUUUAUAAAUGCAUAUUUGAAUUUUAUUCAUUUAUAUUAAUUGUGUUCAUGAAUUAAUUUGCACCCUUAACAAGCUGUUUGGUAGUUGAGAUGACUGAAAACUGAGCAGCCUGGA